CCCCCGUUCCCCCAAAACACCAAAACCCGCGUCCGCCGAGGCGAAGCGGGGGCGCGCACACGGCGGGCGUGGGCUUCUCACACUCUCCCUCCCUCCAUUCCCCCACCCGCUCCCCGGCCCCUCCGAUUCCCCGCCCCCCGCGCCGCGACGGAGAUGCUCCGCCCCUCCCCGCUGCUGCCCGUGCCCGGCGUCUCCGCCUCCGCGGCGGCGGCCCCGCCCGGCAGGGCCGCCAUCAUGCGGAUGUUCCACGGCGACGUGUUCCUCGGCGAGGUCGACGUCUUCUCGAUCAAGCCCGGCCCCGAGGGCGCCCUGCCCUUCCCCAGCAACGAGAUCCGCAUCAGCCACCUCUCGCCGGCCAGCGAGCGCUGCCCGCCCCUCGCCAUCCUGCAGACCAUCGCGCCCUUCUCCGUGCGCUGCAAGCUCCAGGCCAGGCCGCUCCCUCCCCACCCCAGCCUCCACCGCCUCUACAUCACUUGCUUCAACGAGUACAAGAGCGCGGUUGUGGUGGUCGGAGACGAGGAGCUGCACCUGGUGGCAAUGCCGAGCAAGGUGGAGAAGAUACCGUGCUUCUGGUGCUGCUCUGUGCGCGUUGGGCUCUAUGCAGCGUCCGUUGGGAUGCUCAACCUCCGCUGCCUUGCUAUUGUGUUUGAUCUUGAUGAGACCCUCAUCGUCGCCAACACGAUGAGGUCCUUUGAGAGCCGGAUCGAGAUGCUUUCCCGUAGGAUGGACAUUGAGGAUGACCCUGUUAGGGUAGCGGGGAUGUCUGCAGAAAUCAAGCGCUAUAUUGAGGACAGGGAGCUUCUCAAGGAGUUCAUUGACACAGAUACUGUUACAGACAAUGGCAGAAUUGUUGGCACCCAGAAGGAGGAGGUUCAGCCUAUGCCUGGUGUCCAGGAGCGUCUUGUUCGACCUGUAAUCAGGUUGCCCGAGAGGAAUGCUAUUCUCACCCGCAUCAAUCCAGAGAUUCGCGAUACCAGUGUUUUUGUGAAGCUAAGGCCUGCCUGGGAGGAUUUGAGAAGUUACCUAACUGCCAAGGGACGCAAAAGAUUUGAGGUCUAUGUGUGUACAAUGGCUGAAAGAGAUUAUGCUCUUGAGAUAUGGAGACUUCUUGAUCCAGAAGCUAAUUUGAUCAGCUUGAAUAAUCUUUCAGAUCGUGUAGUAUGUGUAAAAGCAGGUUCCAAGAAGUCCCUGCAGCAUGUUUUUAGAGAUGGAGGAUGCCAUCCAAAGAUGGCCAUGGUGAUUGAUGAUAGGCUGCAAGUUUGGGAUGAGAAAGAUCAGCAUCGAGUUCAUGUCGUCCCUGCCUAUGCUCCAUACUAUGCCCCACAAGCCAAGAUGGCAAACGCUGUUCCAGUGCUCUGUGUUGCGAGAAAUGUUGCUUGCAAUGUUCGUGGUGGUUUCUUCAGGGAAUUUGAUGAAAAUCUAUUGAAGAAAGUAUUUGAACUAUUGUACGAAAAUGAGUUACUGGAUCUUCCCUAUGCUCCAGAUGUCGGUGACUACUUAGUCUGCGAGGACCCUAAUUUUCCACAAAGCAAUAAAGAUCCUGCCCCUAUACCUGAGGGUAUGAGUGGAGCUGAAGUAGAGAAGAGAUUGAAUGGGCGGGCAUACCAGGCGGACCAAAAACAGAUAUCGUCAUCAAUCCGUCCACCAGAUGAUGCACGAGUGCCAAUCCGGGGAACUCUAGGCAGUUCAAAUGUGCAACCCAAUGGGGGCUCAAUGGCAAUUGUCCCUUCUUUGUUUGUCAUGGUAUUGCAAGAGAUUGGACGACUAUGCAACUCGAAGGUGGAGUUUAGGUCGACUGUAAGCACCAGCAAAAUUACGCAAUUUUCCGUUGAGGUUCUAUUUAGUAAUGAAAAAAUUGGAAAUGGCAUUGGAAAAACAAGGGAUGAAGCUCAAGUACAAGCUGCUGAAAAAGCUCUCCAAAAUUUGCAAAGCAAUUACUUGUCAUAUGUUGCUCCUAUCGCUGGAGUUCUUAACAAAGACACAAGCAAGUCUUCUAGGAAUGGAAAUGGCUUUCUGGAAGACGAUCUGGAUUCAGAUGGUGAUACUGCCAUGCAAGAACCAUCUGGAAGUAAAUCAGAACAGAAGGAUCAUUCAAAUGUGGAUAGGUUGCCCUCUGUAUUAAGUCUUAUUAGAGAACUUUGCUUGGAGGAUCAACAUGUAGUAUUUCGAGAUCAAGUCCGGAAUCCUGGCUCAGCAACCAAUGAAGAAUACCAUUUCCAGUUGUGACCAGUUCUCAUCUGUGCGGCUGUGCCCAGUACCUGUCUUUGGCUGUAUGCUGGUGGGUGCUGCCAGUAUUGGUAAAUGAUCCGCUGGGUCUGCUAAAGGGUUGCAGUAUAAGCCAGAAGGCCGACGACCUUCUCACUGAAACAAACUGGUGUCUUCAAAGUUGGACCAAACUGGUUUCAGAUUCCAACUUUCUUUCAACCUGGCUUGUACUGCUUCUUAUUUGUUGGUUCCACCUGAUUGCUAUGUCUUCAAACUAUAAAUAUUUUAAUCCUUGAAAAUUACACUUCCCAGUGAUUCUAUAGUAAACCAAAUUGAUUUUGAUAGUCUCUAAUCAGCAUUUGUAUGUAUAGUAAAUGUUCCUUCUGUGAGCUUGUUAAUGCAACUAACAUUGCAGUUGUUGUUAAUCUUUUGAAGGUUGAACUAGCGGGACAGAUUCUUGGGAAUGGUAUUGGUGUGAACAAAGAUUUCGCGAAGCUUCAGGCGGCAGAAGAUGCGCUGAGGUUCUUGAAAACAACCACUGACCCACAGAUUAAGAAGCAUUUGAGACCAAUAAGAUGCAGCAGUUGAUUUCUUCACCCUCUGGCCCCAACCAAAUGAGUUGAAAGAAAGCGGAAUGUGAAAUCAAUCCCUCGGCUAUCAGCACACCUUUAGCCUUCGGACAGGCAACUUUUGGAAAUGGCAUUACGGAGAGCGGGACGUGGUGCUCUUGUGACCACCUUCGCUGGAGAAUCUUCUGGUAGACUAUUUUGCUUCCGGGCAACUACAACUGCAGCCGUAGUCAUCUCGGUAGGAUGCUGGCGUAGUUGGCUGUAAACAGGUAGGAAUGUAGGAUUAGUCGUGAAUAGUAACUGUUUACCUGACGGAUGCGGUUGCUUGUAAAUUGUUCAGGGGCAUUGAAACUGGAAUGCUCGUGCUGAUUUCAAAGUUUAUAUGUUCAUAAGCGGUGAUGAUGUUCUCUGUCGGUCGUGCUUGUGCUGGUUUUGGAUCGAAGCUCCUUAUGAUGUAAGGUGCUUAGAAAAAUAAAUUGGUUUUUUAAGCACUAGUGCUUAUCUCUUGAUUA